ACCCAAUAUAACAACGACCAAAAAAGACAUUAACUGAACAAACUGACCUAAUACAAUGACACAAGGAAACAUAUAUAGUGGCUUGACCAAACCAAAUAACAUAAAAAAGGGUUGACAAUAUGGACACCAUAAAUACAAAGCAAAACUAACUAAACCCAAAUCCCCCCUAUGACAUGGCAGCACAUGGUUCGACCUGAUGAGGCGGCUCCAGUAUUUAAAAGUCCACAGCUUUCAGGCACACCUUUUGCUCCACCAGGAAAGGACGUCCCCCAACAACCAUGACUGAAUUGAGCAGCGGGCUGGUUUGAUGGUACAGAGCAGCGAGGUAGCUGGACGGGCAGCCGAUCUGUCCCCGGGGAUGACGAGCUGGUCAGCAGGGUAGGAGCUGUUCUGGUGCCAGUGUUCAGCUCCAAUUUGUGUACUUCUUACUGCAGCACAGUCUUGACCGAGGGCCUUUGGAAUCAGUCCCACUCAGAAACGAUUUACUAUGGGCAGGCAGGACUGUCAGAUAGGGGGCAGGACACACGGGGGCUUGUGCAUGACUUUGAGGACACAAUGGGUUCAUGAAGGAGUGAUAAUGUUUGGGGGGGAGGUAAUGCAAUCCAAUACUACAUUAGCAAAACUGCAGCCCCCGCAAUUUCCAUGGACUUAAAUCAACACCUCUCUGACACAGUCCCAACCAAAAUCCAACCCUUUAAGCUUCACAAAGCUAGUUUUUUUUGCAGGACUGUUGUUUUUGAUUGCAUUAAACUGACAUCUGCUGUGACUGUGUAGCUCAUAUGUGAAUAUUCAA